rnacentral:tRNA from 1 species
ACCUAGCUGGCUCACUCAGUAGAGCAUGCGACUCUUGAUCUCAGGGCUGUGAGUUUGAGCCCCAUGUUGGGUA